rnacentral:rRNA from 1 species
UAAGUCGAACGAUGAAGCCUAGCUUGCUAGGUGGAUUAGUGGCGCACGGGUGAGUAAUGCAUAGAUAACAUGCCCUUUAGUUUGGAAUAGCCACUAGAAAUGGUGAUUAAUACCAAAUA